rnacentral:lncRNA from 1 species
CAAGAAUCCACUUGGUGGCAGUUCAUUAAUAUUUCAUACUUUCCACUUACAAGGAGAAUUGAUUCAUCCUGAACAGAAUUUAUACAUAACCUGGAUAUCAGGAUAUCUUCUCUGUCUGCAGUGACUUCACAAUGCCUUUUGUCAAUGGCAUUCAGAAUGCCUCAUCUAUCACAAUGGUAACCCACACAUUACCUUGAACGAAGAGACACUUUUAAAGUACAGGAGUGGAUCAGUUAGCUCAAAACUGUAAGAUUACAUCAUAUAUUAUGUACCUCUUCACCCAGAAGCAGCUGGAUUAAUAAAACAUUGGAAGGACCUACUGAAGGCUUACUUCAGCUAAAUCUGCAGCUUGAACAAAUCACUUUGAAAGAUUUGAAGUCCAUGUUCCUAAGAGUUCAACACUUCUAUCAGAGUAUACUGUGAAGUUCACUGGACUGGAGGCUAUGCUUACCGCCUGGCCCCUUUGGACUCCUCAUAGCAACAGGCCAGGAAAUUAUAAGUGACCACAUCUUGAACAUUUAGACUCCAUCAGAGGUCAAAACGAGGCUUGGGACAGAGUUCCAUGACACCUAUUGUUGCAGGAGUCACAGAGGCUUCAGCACUCAGUUCCGCCCUUAUUAUCCAAAAUCUGAUUCAAGACCUCCAAGUAAAGGAAAGAAUGUGAAAAUAAGUAAAAAGAAAAAAAUGACCAGACAUCUGGAGCUCCUCCUGCCACUGCUGAAUCCAUGACAGUGAAAUUCUUGUUCACUACGGUAAUCACAGAGAACGACUAUGCCAUGCCACUUCCAGAUUGCCUCACUUUCGCUAAAAGCCAGCAGAAUACCACGUCGCAUUGGUGAGUAAAUGUGAUCUUUGAUCAAGGCCCUGCAUUCAAAGAGGCCUCCUCAG